rnacentral:rRNA from 1 species
UACGAAGGGGGCUAGCGUUGCUCGGAAUCACUGGGCGUAAAGGGUGCGUAGGCGGGUCUUUAAGUCAGGGGUGAAAUCCUGGAGCUCAACUCCAGAACUGCCUUUGAUACUGAGGAUCUUGAGUAUGGGAGAGGUGAGUGGAACUGCGAGUGUAGAGGUGAAAUUCGUAGAUAUUCGCAAGAACACCAGUGGCGAAGGCGGUUCACUGGCCCAUUACUGACGCUGAGGCACGAAAGCGUGGGGAGCAAACAGG